rnacentral:rRNA from 1 species
UACAGAGGUCCCAAGCGUUGUUCGGAUUCACUGGGCGUAAAGGGUGCGAAGGCGGUCGGGUAAGUCUGAUGUGAAAUCUCACAGCUUAACUGUGAAACUGCAUUGGAUACUAUCCGGCUCGAGGAAUGGAGGGGAGACUGGAAUACUUGGUGCAGCAGUGAAAUGCGUAGAUAUCAAGUGGAACACCAGUGGCGAAGGCGAGUCUCUGGACAUUUCCUGACGCUGAGGCGCGAAAGCCAGGGGAGCGAACGGG